rnacentral:misc_RNA from 1 species
GUCGAAUCCUCAUAACUAUCUAAUUCCCGAAGCAUUUUUGCAAUGGAUUCUCCCUGGGGUUUUACACUGUCAGAAUUCCCUUUAGGUGUAUUAUUGGAGGGGUGGUGUGACUCUGUGGAUUGUGCAGAUGCUUUUAGACGCAAAAGUUCUUGUUCAAGCCUUUGGAGAUCAUCCUUGUGGCGCUGAAAAUCUAUCUCUAUCUUAAGGCGUAAUGACUCGAGCUUUCGUUUACUACUCACCUCCGCUGCUUCUUUACUACGUCUUUCAUCUUCCACUUGUGCCAUGGCAGCCUCUUUAGC